rnacentral:rRNA from 1 species
UACGAAGGGGGCGAGCGUUAUUCGGAAUCACUGGGCGUAAAGCGUGCGUAGGCGGUUUUGUAAGUUAGAAGUGAAAGCCCAGGGCUUAACCCUGGAAUUGCUUUUAAAACUACAAGACUAGGAUUCGGGAGAGGAUAGCGGAAUUGUCAGUGUAGCAGUGAAAUGCGUAGAUAUUGACAGGAACACCAGUGGCGCAAGCGGCUAUCUGGACCGACAUCGACGCUGAGGCACGAAAGCGUGGGGAUCAAACAGG